UCUCUGGUAGUAUAUCGGUUAGUACACGCGCCUGUCAUUGACUGACUUUCCACCAUUCGCGCGAAAGCUGGGUUCGACUCCCAGCCAGAGAG